rnacentral:rRNA from 1 species
CGGCAACAGCUCAAAUUUGAAAUCUGCCCGCAAGGGCCGAGUUGUAAUUUGUAGAGGAUGUUUUGGCGUCGGCGCCGCCCAAAGUUCCUUGGAACGGGACGUCAUAGAGGGUGAGAGCCCCGUGUCCGGGUGGAUGCCUUCGCCAUGUGAAGCUCCUUCGAC